rnacentral:ncRNA from 1 species
AAAAGAAAAAGCCAAACCUGUCUAAGACAGGGACGGAAAGCUACGGGUCUUUAGAGAAAGCCGGGUUGCCUUU